rnacentral:lncRNA from 1 species
AAAUCUCCCAGCUCUCAUCUCGUUCACUCUUAUCCCAGCAUUUCCAGCCAACUUCAUGUCAUCUUCUUCUCAACUUCAUGAGCUUCUCCGCAUCUCUCCCAAUGGCUUUCUCCAUAUCAUCUUAGAUUAGGCGUCCAGACUUCCCAAUCUAACAAAACAGAGUCCAACCCGAGCAAAUCCUUCUCCCCGAGCAUCACGGAAGAGCUCGCUAUCCGCAUCCCCUGCAUCCGCAACAAUCCCACGCUCAUCCCGAAUCCAACCUUCCUCCUCUUCCGAAUCCUUCCCAGAUUUUCCCUCGCGCUUAUCUUCAUCUCCACCGCGUUGAACCAACAUCAUCAACUUCCGGAUCCCCUGAGAACAAAGCUUAUCCUCUCCGGAAAGCAAGCAUCGUGAGCAUCCUCUACAAUCUUUUCCCCUGCUUCUGAACAUAACCAAAAUCCUUUCAAUGCCCAUGAUGAAGCUUCCCACGGAUCACUUUCUUCCGCUCAUUCCAUGCGCUCCCAGCCAUCCCAACUUCCGAGAUCCUCUCACAUCCACAUUUCAGCGUCCCAACAGCGUCCAAGAUCUUCUACCGCGUCGCCUCUGCGUUGAAGCCGCGUCACCAACAUUUCGGAUCACAUCCACUCUCAGCCGUGAGCACCGUUCCAGCAUCCACAUCAUCCUCUGCAUCCUUAUCCUUGAUUCGAAAGAGGGGAGGAGAGAGAGGUGGGCAGGCUAUAAAAGGAGUCAAGAUGUGAAGGGGAGGAGGCAUUCUCUUCCGUCCCAUUCUUUCUCACCCGAUCCCAUCCUUUAGUUCUUUUAUUUGGGAAGUCCCACGGGAAACAGAGGAGGAAAAAGAGUUUGGGUACUUUGGGAAUGAUUUCCCAUAGGAAGAGAAGAUGAUGUGCUAAGAGGGAGCCGCUCUCAGGAGAGUCUCCAGGGAGAAUGAACGAAGAGAUGGAAGCUCUUGGCACUGCUGCUGCUGUCCACCACUGCAUGGAAGCCUAAUCCUCUCACUAGGGCUGGAUGCAGCCCU